CGCUUUCACUCCUACGGGGAGGCAGCAGUAGGGAAUCUUCCACAAUGGGCGCAAGCCUGAUGGAGCAACACCGCGUGAGUGAAGAAGGGUUUCGGCUCGUAAAGCUCUGUUGUUAAAGAAGAACACGUAUGAGAGUAACUGUUCAUACGUUGACGGUAUUUAACCAGAAAGUCACGGCUAACUACGUGCCAGCAGCCGCGGUAAUACGUAGGUGGCAAGCGUUAUCCGGAUUUAUUGGGCGUAAAGAGAGUGUAGGCGGUUUCUAAGUCUGAUGUGAAAGCCUUCGGCUUAACCGGAGAAGUGCAUCGGAAACUGGAUAACUUGAGUGCAGAAGAGGGUAGUGGAACUCCAUGUGUAGCGGUGGAAUGCGUAGAUAUAUGGAAGAACACCAGUGGCGAAGGCGGCUACCUGGUCUGCAACUGACGCUGAGACUCGAAAGUAUGGGUAGCGAACAGGAUUAGAUACCCUGGUAG
rnacentral:rRNA from 1 species